CCCGCCUACGGGGGGCAGCAGUGAGGAAUAUUGGUCAAUGGUCGGGAGACUGAACCAGCCAAGCCGCGUGAGGGAUGAAGGUACAGAGUAUCGUAAACCUCUUUUGUCAGGGAACAAAGGCGGGGACGCGUCCCCGGAUGAGUGUACCUGAAGAAAAAGCAUCGGCUAACUCCGUGCCAGCAGCCGCGGUAAUACGGAGGAUGCGAGCGUUAUCCGGAUUUCUUGGGUUUAAAGGGUGGGCAGGCGGUCUGGUAAG
rnacentral:rRNA from 1 species